AAUUUCCCAUGAAUUUGCGCAUAAAUGUGCAUUUAAGUUGUUGUAGUUAAAAAUCUCGUAGUUAGAUCGUAAAGGUCGGUUCGCCUACUUGGUGUGCACCUGCCCUUCCUCCCUUUUGUCGGUGGCGUGCUCUUGGCCUUAAUUGGCUGGGUCGCAGUUCCGACAUUGUUACUUUGAAAAAAAUAUAGUGCUCAAAGCAAGCUUAUGCUCUGAAUACAUUAGCAUGGAAUGAAGCGAUAGGAGUUUGGUCCUAUUGUGUUAUACUUCGAGACCAGAGUAAUGAUUAAUAGGGACUGUCGGGGGCAUUCGUAUUUCAUUGUCAGAGGUGAAAUUCUUGGAUUUAUGAAAGGCGAACCACUGCGAAAGAAUUUGCCAAGGAUGUUUUCAUUAAUCAAGAACAAAAGUUGGGGGAUCGAAGACGAUCAUAUACCAUCCUAGUCUCAACCAUAAAUGAUGCCAACUAGGGAUCAACAGAUGUUGCUCUAAGGACUUCGCCAACACCUUAUGAGAAAUCAGAGUGUUUGGGUUCCGGGGGGAGUAUGGUCGCAAGGAUGAAACUUAAAGGAAUUGAUGGAAGGGCACCGCUAGGAGUGGAUCCUGCGGCUUAAUUUGACUCAACACGGGAAAACUUACCAGGUCCAGACAUAGUAAGGAUUGACAGAUUGAGAGCUCUUUCUUGA
rnacentral:ncRNA from 1 species